GGCAAGGUGGCUUAGUGGUUAGCAUGUUUGCCUGGUAUCUCCAGGGAUGGGGGUUUAAUUCCCACCUCUGCCC